AGGGUCAUACAUAAGUUACUGUAAUUUUGCAGCUGCUUUCUAAUACCUCAUAAUCAUUAAGAAGUGGAGGAGUAACAAUACUGAUGAAAGCAAGUAUCAGAUCCUAAAAGAUUAAUUAAAAACUCUAUUAUUUAACACUCUCAAUUUAACAGGCCUGGACUGACCUUUCCUCCUCAGUUAAGAACAAAAACCCCAGAGCAAACAAAAUAACAACCCCACACACCUGCUUUUUUUUGUGGUAGCUCACCUGUUUGUCUGAUAGCUCACCUGAAUCAGGUGUUUUUUACUCAAUAAAAGAGCUGCAAGCAGGGUAAUCAGUGGCUCUGUGUCAAUGUGCAGCAGCUGAGGAUCUGGUCUGAAAAGCAAUCAACAUCCUUCUUUUUGCUGUCUUGCAAAGUACCUGCGGCAGCUGCUCUGCAGGUCCCCUGCUGUGCAAAUCGCCCUUCACAGAGGAAGAUCUUCCUGUCAGUGACUGACGAGAGGUGCCAGGAGCAGGCUAGGAGACUUUUAAAACCCUCGACUUGGCAAAUCAGCAGCGCUAUGAAAAACUAUCACUUUGUUACUUUGGGUCUUUUGAGGAGAAGACUUCAUAGACUUGAAAGUUUCCUGUUUAUGAAAAGCCUAAAUGUAAAAGAAGAGAUCUGGCGAUCAGCCCCAUAUCUAACUGAUCACAAGAAUAAGCAUUUCUAUGGCAUUCCUGCUACGAGACCUCACUGGUAACAUUUUUCCUUGAACUCUAUAUCCUGAAAAUAACACAGUGCAUCUCUGGCAGUCAGUUUUGCUGCGUAGCUGUGAAAAUCAGACCUUCAUUUUCAUCAGUGUCAAGGAUCUCUUGAUAUGCCCUGCAAGCUUUGACAAAUGAAGCAGAGCUAAGUACCGAGUGAAAACUUGUGUCUUCUGAGGUGGCCAUAAAAGAGAAUCAGUAUUUCUUCCGUCACCUUCCAGUUUGGCGAAAAGCCCUCUUUAAUAUAUAUAUAUAUAUAUAUAUAUAUAUAUAUAAAAUUUCAACAGUUUAAAGUUUUCAGUUUCAGUCCUUGGAGCCUACAAAUGUCAAAGUCACUGCUCUACAAGCAGUCACCUUUAGAAUCUCUGAGAAAUCCUUCUCCUCUGGAGCUGGUUGGAUCAGCUUGUGUUGCUGAAACUCUGGUGUGAGUCUCUGGCUCUUCUGGCAGGUUGAUGUGAAACUGAUCCUUAGCUUUGAGAUUUGUAAAAAUAGGCCCAAAAUGUGUCCCGCUGUUCUGGAGACCAUGCUGAUUCUUUAGUAAAAUGCAUGAAAUGGACAGUUUGCACGUGAGAACAUAAAAGGUUUGUUUAGAACAUAAGGAUUGCUGUUUCUCCGUAGGUGUUUUGCACAAAGGAAAGCUGCAAGGGUAGCAUUUGUGAGAAGGAGAUAAUGAGCACAGAACCAUGCAUCUUCCCCAGCUGAUAAGUCAUCCAGUGAACGUGCUCAUGAAGUGAACUGAAUUCAAACAUGGGUUUAUGGUGAUGCUAAUUAGCACACUGUUGUUUGGUUUUUUUCCUCACAAGAUAACAAUAAUUCAGACAGAAUCAAAACCAAAACCAGCUUUUGUUGUUUUUGUUUUGUUUUGUUUUUUCUUUUUCUGGUGGUUAAACUUGUAAUUAUGUUUGUGUUAUUACAAAUUGUGCUAUUUAAUGGAAGGAAUGUAACCUUAGGAGCUUGUGUGGUUGUGACUUUGGAGGUAGAGGCCAAAAUCAGGGCUGGCGUUGGCUGCUGUUCAUUUGGCUCAGCCCAAUGAGGGUAAUGAGACAGAAGCUGCCCUGAGGGGUCUGUCUGUUCCUGCAUCUUCCCUUUCCCCUGGGCUACUUCCCUGGCUUAAUCCCUCCCCUAUCCAGCCUAGAAACUCAUUUUCUUCUUCUUCUUGAGGAUUCGGUAGACCCUUCAUAUUUAAUAUUGGUAUGAAAGGGGAAAUAGAGCCCCAGGAGAAAGAUCAGAGUUUUCUCUUCUGUUGAGGCAUCAGAGUCAUUCUUCCCUUAAUGAAGAGGAACAGCGGGAUGGAUAAAAAUCAAUGACUUAAAAAAAUAAAUUGGAUUUUUAAUUUAGGCUUAA
rnacentral:lncRNA from 1 species